rnacentral:rRNA from 1 species
UGGGGAAUAUUGCACAAUGGGCGAAAGCCUGAUGCAGCAACGCCGCGUGAGGGACGACGGCCUUCGGGUUGUAAACCUCUUUUAGCAAGGAAGAAGCGAAAGUGACGGUACUUGCAGAAAAAGCGCCGGCUAACUACGUGCCAGCAGCCGCGGUAAUACGUAGGGCGCAAGCGUUAUCCGGAAUUAUUGGGCGUAAAGAGCUCGUAGGCGGUUUGUCGCGUCUGCUGUGAAAACCCGAGGCUCAACCUCGGGCCUGCAGUGGGUACGGGCAGACUAGAGUGCGGUAGGGGAGAUUGGAACUCCUGGUGUAGCGGUGGAAUGCGCAGAUAUCAGGAAGAACACCGAUGGCGAAGGCAGAUCUCUGGACCGUAACUGACGCUGAGGAGCGAAAGGGUGGGGAGCAAACAGGCUUAGAUACCCUGGUAGUCCACCCGUAAACGUUGGGAACUAGUUGUGGGGUCCAUUCCACGGAUUCCGUGACGCAGCUAACGCAUUAAGUUCCCCGCCUGGGGAGUACGGCCGCAAGGCUAAAACUUAAAUGAAUUGAC